UACGUAGGUGGCAAGCGAUACUCGGAAUCACUAGGCGUAAAGCGCAGGUAGGAGGUUUGGUAAGUCUGUUGUGAAAGCUCCCGGCUUAACUGGGAGAGGUCAACGGAAACUACAUGGCUAGAGUGCGUUCGGGGCAGAGGGAAUUCCUGGUGUAGCGGUGAAAUGCGUAGAGAUCAGGAAGAACACCGGUGGCGAAAGCGGUUCUCUGGGCAUUACCUGACGCUGAGGAGCGAAAGUGUGGGGAGCGAACAGG
rnacentral:rRNA from 1 species